rnacentral:rRNA from 1 species
UACGAAGGGGGCUAGCGUUGUUCGGAUUUACUGGGCGUAAAGCGCAUGUAGGCGGGCCGAUAAGUUGGGUGUGAAAUCCCGGAGCUCCACUCCGGAACUGCCUCCAAAACUCUCGGCCUGGAGCAGAAGAGAGGCGAGUGGAAUUUCGAGUGUAGAGGUGAAAUUCGUAGAUAUUUGGAGGGACACCAGUGGCGAAGGCGACUCCCUGGCUUCUUGCUUUCGCUGAGAUGCGAAAGCGCGGGGAGCAAACAGG